rnacentral:rRNA from 1 species
AUGCCGUUUGGGCUGACGAACGCACCAGCCACGUUCCAAUGCCUCAUGAAUGCAAUCUUCGCCAAGUACGUGCGUAAAUUCAUGAUCAUAUUUUUGGAUGACAUCUUGAUCUUCAGUGAAACCCUGGAGGAGCACCUGGAGCAUCUUCGCCUUGUCCUCGCUUUGCUUCGCGAGCACCAGCUGUACGCCAAGGAGUCCAAGUGCUCGUUUGCUCAAGACAACAUCUCCUACCUAGGCCACAUCAUCUCCAAGGACGACGUCGCCACGGACCCGGAGAAGACACAAGCUAUGGUGGCAUGGCCGACCCCUGCAACUGCCACUGAGCUCCGCGGCUUCCUCGGCCUCACCGGCUACUAUCGCAAGUUCAUCGAGCACUACGGUAUCAUUGCCAAGCCGCUCACGAGCUUGCUAACCAAGAAGGGCUUCGAGUGGACCGAGAGGGCGCAAGUGGCAUUUGACCUCCUCAAGCACGCCAUGGUGACCGCGCCGGUGCUCGCGCUCCCAGAUUUCGCACGACCGUUC